GUGGAGCUGAAUGCUAGCAAGCCUGUAUCUCCCGUGCCUGGUUCACCUCCAAUUCCGCAUUCAGGCAGAACCUGUCAUUGUUUAGGUGGCUCUUCCCGAUCUCCUCAAAGCCACUCUGCCAGAGAAAAUCCAGAUUUUUCGUCGGGGCUGGAUUCGUACAUAUUAAUCGCCAAGUAAACCUAAGACAGCUAUUCUCUGUUUCUCUCCCUUCUAAGUCUAGGUUAGGGUUUCUUGAUAUCGCCGUUAGAUUCCAAUUUUCGAGAUUCCUUUUGAUACCACCGAUCUCUUAAUCGCGGCACUGGAUUGGGCACCAGCGGCCCAAAACAUAGCGAGGCGUAGCUUAGCUGAAGAUUCAGGUGGUUUUUGGCGAUCAGAAUGGAGGCUGCCGCUGGCCGCAGCGGAUCACUCGCCGUGCCUUCCUCCCACACUCCGCCGAGGAAGGAAUGGCGUGCCAUCUCGGAGAAUUCUUUUCGGAAAAAUGGAGGCGAGGAGUCAGAGAACCUUAAGUUGGUGCAGACUGAUGAGAGAACAAUAUAUGAGGUGCAGGAGGGAACCGGGCCUGUUAAUGUGGAUUCCUGCUCGAUAACCGUUAAUGGCGAGGGCUUGAAAGAAGACAAUUUGCAGCGUAGAAUUCAAGAGAUAUCGAGGCAGAGGGAGGAUCUACAACAUAUGGAGAUUGAACUAAGAGCGCAAGUAAUUGCGAGUUCUAAGAUAUCGGACAUGCAUAAUAGUUACCGGUCUCAGCUUAAGGAGCAAAUAGAUGCUGCUGCAAAGCUGAAGGAGCAAUUACAAGAAAGAGAACAAGAAGUGCGAGAAUUAGAGUUGAACUUGGAAGAGAAGAAUAUAGAAUUGCGUGCAGUUAAGAUAGACAACGAAGCGGUUUGGGCUAAAGAGGAUCUCUUCAGGGAACAAAAUAAAGAGUUGGCGACAUUCAGAAGAGAACGUGACAACUCAGAAUCUGAAAGAGCCCAGCUUCUUAAAAAAAUUCUUGAUUUCCAGGAGCAUAUUCAAGAUAAAGAGAAUCAAUUUCUUGCCUUAGAAGAACAGCACAGAGUUGCUCAAGAAACAAUCCUUUACAAGGAUGAGCAGUUAAGGGAGGUGCAGGCAUGGAUGGCACGUGUUCAGGAGAUGGAUGCUUUGCAAAUAACAACAAACAGGUCUUUACAAGCUGAACUUCGUGACCGCACUGAACAGUUCAAUCAAUAUUGGAUUGUUUUGCAGCAACAAUUUGUGGAGAUGGAACGUCACCAUCUGCAAACUAUACAACAACUUCAUUUGGAGCUUGCCGAGUUGAGAGGUAAGAGUGCAGUAUACCAGGAUAGCUCCCAGACUGUUCAUGAAAACCAAACUGAUUCAUCAUCAUACCUGCAAAACGAGGGGAACCAAGUGAAAGCAAAUGAGGCCCCUGUAUUAAGCAGUAGCUUGACAUUUGGCUCUGAUGGAAAACUUCGAGUUUCCAGUUCUUCUACCGAAACUGAACUAGUCCCUGUUCUUCCUCCUGUACUUGGGAUGGGUGCCUUCGCUCCUGUUGGCCAGAUGGCCACUUUGCAUCCUUUUGUCAUUCAUCAACAAGGUGUUCCAGAAUCCAUAUCAUCUGCAGAUUCUAUCAUUCCUCAAUCUCAUGCAGGCCACCUUCAAUCAAUGUCUGUAAUGCCAGCCCAACAUUGGCAGGAGCAGCAGGUAAUACAAGAAGUUUCUCAGGAUCCUAACAAAGACAAAUACCAUCUGUCCCAGUUGGAGCAUAAUCUACUUGGAUCUCAUUCUCAAUAUAGCCAUGAACGUUCUGCUUCACUGAAUUUAGUUCAUCCAGAAUAUCUUAGCUCUCCCAUGAACCAACAACAAAGGUCUGCUUCUGAAACAUUUGUGUCAAAUGAACAAAAGAAGGUCCCUGAAUCUAAUGAUAUAAUUAAUCAAAUUUCUAAAGAAAGGCAGGCGAAUCCAAACAUGAAUUCUAAACUUAAUGCUCCAUUAGUCGAACCAAUUGAGCCGAAGAAUGAACAGAAGGUCCCAGAUCAAAAUGCAGACUCAGAAAUUAAUGGACCACAUCAGCAAGUUUUGGACUUGGGUCAAGAGUGGUCAGCUUCUAAUGUGGCUGUAAGUGCUGCUCUAAGUCACGCCGUUGGUACCUGCAGUGCUGUAGAAUGCAUUGAGGAUAACUUGGUAUUUCCUGCACCUCCUGUUCGUGUUAGCGGAGCGUUAAGCUCAAUGCCUACCAAUACGGCAAAGGAGCCUGUUCUUAUGGAUGAACGAGCACUUUUGGCUUGCAUUGUUCGUGCAAUUCCAGCUGGUUCUGAUGGUCGAAUUAGAAUUAGCACCACUUUGCCAAAUAGGCUUGGAAAAAUGCUUGCACCUCUUCACUGGCAUGAUUACAAGAAACAUUAUGGAAAGCUUCAUGAUUUUGUUGGUCGUCAUCCUGAAUUGUUUGUCAUUGAAGAAGACUAUAUUCAUCUCUGUGAAGGAGCUCAAGAAAUUAUUUCAGCUACUGCAGCUGUGGCAAAAGUUGCGGCUGCUGCUGCAUCAUCGGCUCCUAAUUCUUCACUACUUCCUUCAGUUGCUGUCACUCCAAUUUCUCAGAGCAGUCGCAAUAAAAAAUCUCUCUCAGUUGAUUCUAAACCUGUUAGUUCGGCUUCAUUCUUAAAAGAUGUUGCUAUGAACAACACUGGGAAUUUAUCUGAUAAGUACUCUCAGGUUCCAAAAACACAUGUUCAACAACAAAACGGCGUAAGCAUUAAUGUUGUUCAAGGGUUGGCAGACAUAGCUGUCUCUAGCAGAAAGAAUUCUGGUGAAAAAGGUGGUUUGACAUCUAAUACGCCCUCUGAUCCGUUAACUCUAAGCCAUCUUACUGGAAAUGGUUCGAACAAUGCAUCAACAAACGGAAGGAUUACUUUUGGAGGAAAGAAACCAGAAAGGUAGCUAUUUUCAUAGGGCUUCUGGAGUCAGGGUGAUCUCACGAAGAUAGUAAACAUAUCUCAUGGGCUAUACUAUAUGGUUUCGUAACUCUGUUCAAUUGGGUGGGCGUCGCAUAUUUGGAAGUACGAAACCUGAAUAUGAUAUAAGCUGUCAUAAGGGAGGAAAGUUAAUAUCAAUUACGAUUUAUUCAUUUAUGUCGCAUAUUUGUAGGAUAUUGGGCUCGAAAUCUUGCCUAUAAUUUAGCUGACCCAAAGCCAAUUUUUCCACACUUACUCUCAUCAUUUUUGUGUUCAAUGAUUUGUGUUAUUGUAGAUUGUUUGCUAUAUAGUCGGAAAAUGGUGUUUUGUUUAUUCACAAUUGUUUGGAAUUGUUAAUGAUUUGAUUUUCUUUCGGGAAUCAA